rnacentral:rRNA from 1 species
ACAGGAUUAGAUACCCUGGUAGUCCACGCCGUAAACGAUGUCGACUUGGAGGCUGUUCCCUUGAGGAGUGGCUUCCGGAGCUAACGCGUUAAGUCGACCGCCUGGGGAGUACGGCCGCAAGGUUAAAACUCAAAUGAAUUGACGGGGGCCCGCACAAGCGGUGGAGCAUGUGGUUUAAUUCGAUGCAACGCGAAGAACCUUACCUACUCUUGACAUCCAGAGAACUUUCCAGAGAUGGAUUGGUGCCUUCGGGAACUCUGAGACAGGUGCUGCAUGGCUGUCGUCAGCUCGUGUUGUGAAAUGUUGGGUUAAGUCCCGCAACGAGCGCAACCCUUAUCCUUUGUUGCCAGCGAUUCGGUCGGGAACUCAAAGGAGACUGCCGGUGAUAAACCGGAGGAAGGUGGGGAUGACGUCAAGUCAUCAUGGCCCUUACGAGUAGGGCUACACACGUGCUACAAUGGCGCAUACAAAGAGAAGCGACCUCGCGAGAGCAAGCGGACCUCAUAAAGUGCGUCGUAGUCCGGAUCGGAGUCUGCAACUCGACUCCGUGAAGUCGGAAUCGCUAGUAAUCGUGGAUCAGAAUGCCACGGUGAAUACGUUCCCGGGCCUUGUACACACCGCCCGUCACACCAUGGGAGUGGGUUGCAAAAGAAGUAGGUAGCUUAACCUUCGGGAGGGCGCUUACCACUUUGUGAUUCAUGACUGGGGUGAAGUCGUAACAAGGUAU